rnacentral:lncRNA from 10 species
GCGGCCGCCGCGGGCCCAGCUGUAUGGUUAGGCCACCAUCGUUCGUCUUGGGAGGACUCCAGUGCUUGUUGCCCUAGCAUUAAUUGAAAGUGGAAUGAAAAACGAAGAUGCAGUACGGUUUAUUAGAGAUAAACGGCACGGCGCUUUUAACAGCAAGCAACUUUUGUAUUUGGAGAAAUAUCAUUCUCAAAUGCGGCUUCGCUUUGUGUCCGGAAUUGGUGGGUUCUUGGUCUCACUGACUUCAAGAAUGAAGCUGCGGACCCUCGCGCUUCUCUUAUUCCUGACUCUGGCUGCCAUCGUUGGCUGAUGAAAGAGUUCCUUUUAUUUGGUGAGUUCAUCCAUCAAGAUUGUCUUCGAAGCUUUGUCUUUGAAGUUUUCACCUAUUCCCAACCACUCCCCCUGGAAGCUUGU